rnacentral:tRNA from 1 species
GCCCAGGUGGUGGAACUUGGUAGACACAAGGGACUUAAAAUCCCUUGAUCCCUGUGAUCGUGCGGGUUCAAUUCCCGCCCUGGGCA